GAUGAACGCUGGCGGCGUGCCUAAUACAUGCAAGUCGAGCGAACGGACGAGAAGCUUGCUUCUCUGAUGUUAGCGGCGGACGGGUGAGUAACACGUGGAUAACCUACCUAUAAGACUGGGAUAACUUCGGGAAACCGUAGCUAAUACCGGAUAAUAUUUUGAACCGCAUGGUUCAAAAGUGAAAGACGGUCUUGCUGUCACUUAUAGAUGGAUCCGCGCUGCAUUAGCUAGUUGGUAAGGUAACGGCUUACCAAGGCAACAAUGCAUAGCCGACCUGAGAGGGUGAUCGGCCACACUGGAACUGAGACACGGUCCAGACUCCUACGGGAGGCAGCAGUAGGGAAUCUUCCGCAAUGGGCGAAAGCCUGACGGAGCAACGCCGCGUGAGUGAUGAAGGUCUUCGGAUCGUAAAACUCUGUUAUUAGGGAAGAACAUAUGUGUAAGUAACUGUGCACAUCUUGACGGUACCUAAUCAGAAAGCCACGGCUAACUACGUG
rnacentral:rRNA from 1 species